ensembl:lncRNA
GACUAGUCGUGACACUAUGACACUAGUCGUGACACUAUGACACUAGCUGUGACACUAGCUUUGAGACUAUGACACUAUGAGACUAUGACACUAUGAGACUAUGACUAGUCGUGACACUAUGACACUAGUCGUGACACUAUGACACUAGCUGUGACACUAGCCGUGAGACUGACACUAGCCGUGAGACUGUGACACUGGCCGUGAGACUAUGACACUGGCCGUGAGACAUGACACUGGCCGUGAGACCAUGACACUAGCCGUGAGACCAUGACACUAGCCGUGAGACCAUGACACUAGCCGUGAGACCAUGACACUAGCCAUGAGACCAUGACACUAGCCGUGAGACCAUGACACUAGCCGUGAGACCAUGACACUAGCCGUGAGACCAUGACACUAGCCGUGAGACUAUGACACUAUGAAACUAUGACACUAGCCGUGACACUGUGACACUAGCCGUGAGACUGUGACACUAGCCGUGAGACUUGACACUAGCCGUGAGACUGUGACACUAUGAGACUAUGACACUAGCCGUGACACUAUGACACUAGCUCCGUGAGACUGACACUAGCCGUGAGACUGACACUAGCCGUGAGACUGUGAGACUAGCUGUGAGACUGUGCUAGAAGGCUUUCUAUUUGAGGUCUGUCUGUGUGUUUAACUGUGGCGUUGUCAUAUUGCGCUGCUUUAUGUAUUGUAUAUAACUUGUUUUGCUUUUCUAAUGUGAACCAACAAACGUUCGGUUCACGUAAGUGAAUCUAUAUUGUUAUGAAAAUACCCACCCAGGCCGUAAGGAGCUGUGAAAUUGUAAUGUCUUAUGGGUUGUUUUGUGGGUUUUUUUGUUGAGGGGUUGAGCACAUUUGUACUCUCUGCAAGGCAAACUCUGUUUCUUAUCACCCUCAUAGACAUACAUUGGUUAAUGCAGUCUACAGUAUGUUCAUUAUACUCUUUAACAAAUACAACCUGUGUCCAUGUCUUUGUUCUGUGUCUUCAUGGUGAAUCAUGUUCUGUAUCUGUUCUGCUAGAGUCCUCUGCUGCUA